rnacentral:rRNA from 1 species
UACGUAGGGCGCAAGCGUUAUCCGGAAUUAUUGGGCGUAAAGAGCUCGUAGGCGGUUUGUCGCGUCUGCCGUGAAAGUCCGGGGCUCAACUCCGGAUCUGCGGUGGGUACGGGCAGACUAGAGUGAUGUAGGGGAGACUGGAAUUCCUGGUGUAGCGGUGAAAUGCGUAGAUAUCUGGAGGAACACCGGUGGCGAAGGCGGCAUCCUGGACCAACACGUGACGCUGAGGAGCGAAAGCCAGGGGAGCAAAGCGGGG